UACGGAAGGCAGCAGUGGGGAAUAUUGCACAAUGGGCGCAAGCCUGAUGCAGCCAUGCCGCGUGUAUGAAGAAGGCCUUCGGGUUGUAAAGUACUUUCAGUCGUGAGGAAGGUGUUAAGGUUAAUAACCUUAGCAAUUGACGUUAGCGACAGAAGAAGCACCGGCUAACUCCGUGCCAGCAGCCGCGGUAAUACGGAGGGUGCGAGCGUUAAAUCGGAAUUACUGGGCGUAAAGGGCACGCAGGCGGUUAAUUAAGUUGGAUGUGAAAUCCCCGGGCUUAACCUGGGAAUGGCAUUCAAGACUGGUUAGCUAGAGUCUUGUAGAGGGGGUGAAAUUCCAUGUGUAGCGGUGAAAUGCGUAGAGAUGUGGAGGAAUACCGGUGGCGAAAGGCGGCCCCUGGGACAAAGACUGACGCUCAUGUGCGAAAAGGCGUGGGGAGCAAAACAGGGAUUAGAUACC
rnacentral:rRNA from 1 species